rnacentral:siRNA from 1 species
CCUUUUCUCUACUCUUUUC